AUGUGCCAUCCUGACAAGCCUUUUACUUCUGAUAAGCUCCGAUGUGUGUUUAAUGAAUACAAAGCCGCGGUCUGGGUGCCGCCUCGGCUGCGGCCGCUCUCCUGCGCUCCUUUGCCAGAAGCUGGCGGAGAGAAUUUACAUUUAAAGAUUAGCGGAGAGAGAAAGAGAAAUCUGCCUUUUGUUGUGCGGGGUGAGGAGGAGGCAAGUCCUGGCCUGGCCGCUAUCUCCCAUCACCUCUGCGACCCAGACAGGACUCGGCGAGAUCGGACUGAGAAGCACUCCACGAUGCCAGACUCACCUGUGGAUGUGAAGACCCCGUCUAGGCUGACUCCUCCUACCAUGCCACCUCCCCCCACAACUCAAGGAGCUCCGAGAACGAGUUCAUUUACACCGACGACUUUAACUAAUGGCACGAGCCAUUCACCCACAGCCUUGAAUGGCGCCCCCUCGCCGCCCAAUGGCUUUAGCAAUGGGCCUUCCUCUUCUUCCUCCUCUUCUCUGGCUAAUCAACAGCUGCCCCCAGCCUGUGGCGCCAGGCAGCUCAGUAAGCUGAAACGGUUCCUUACUACCCUGCAGCAGUUUGGCAAUGACAUUUCUCCAGAGAUAGGAGAGAGAGUCCGCACCCUCGUACUAGGACUGGUGAACUCUACUUUGACAAUUGAAGAAUUUCAUUCCAAACUGCAAGAAGCUACUAACUUCCCACUGCGACCUUUUGUCAUCCCAUUUCUGAAGGCCAACCUGCCCCUGCUGCAGCGCGAGCUCCUCCACUGCGCAAGGCUGGCCAAACAGAACCCUGCCCAGUACCUCGCCCAGCAUGAACAGCUGCUUCUGGAUGCCAGCACCACCUCACCUGUUGACUCCUCAGAGCUGCUUCUCGAUGUGAACGAAAACGGGAAGAGGCGAACUCCAGACAGAACCAAAGAAAAUGGCUUUGACAGAGAGCCUUUGCACUCAGAACAUCCAAGCAAGCGACCAUGCACUAUUAGCCCAGGCCAGCGGUACAGUCCAAAUAACGGCUUAUCCUACCAGCCCAAUGGCCUGCCUCACCCCACCCCACCUCCACCUCAGCAUUACCGUUUGGAUGAUAUGGCCAUUGCCCACCACUACAGGGACUCCUAUCGACACCCCAGCCACAGGGACCUCAGGGACAGAAACAGACCUAUGGGGUUGCAUGGCACACGUCAAGAAGAAAUGAUUGAUCACAGACUAACAGACAGAGAAUGGGCAGAGGAAUGGAAACAUCUUGACCAUCUGCUGAACUGCAUCAUGGACAUGGUGGAGAAGACGCGGCGCUCCCUCACGGUGCUGCGGCGCUGCCAGGAGGCCGACCGCGAGGAGCUCAAUUACUGGAUCCGGCGCUACAGCGACGCCGAGGACCUGAAGAAAGGCGGCGGCGGUGGCGGCGGCCACUCCAGACAGCAGAGUCCGGUCAACCCGGACCCGGUUGCACUAGAUGCGCAUCGGGAAUUCCUUCACAGGCCUGCUUCUGGAUACGUGCCAGAGGAGAUCUGGAAGAAAGCUGAGGAGGCGGUCAACGAGGUGAAGCGCCAGGCGAUGACCGAGCUGCAGAAGGCCGUGUCCGAGGCCGAGCGGAAGGCCCACGACAUGAUCACCACCGAGCGCGCCAAGAUGGAGCGCACGGUGGCCGAGGCCAAGCGGCAGGCGGCGGAGGAUGCGCUGGCCGUCAUCAACCAGCAGGAGGAUUCGAGCGAGAGUUGCUGGAACUGCGGCCGCAAAGCUAGCGAGACGUGCAGCGGCUGUAACACGGCCCGGUACUGUGGCUCAUUUUGCCAGCACAAGGACUGGGAGAAGCACCACCACAUCUGCGGCCAGACCCUGCAGGCCCAGCAGCAGGGGGACACGCCCGCUGUCAGCUCCUCCGUCACGCCCAACAGCGGGGCCGGCAGCCCCAUGGACACACCACCAGCAGCCACCCCGAGGUCGACCACCCCGGGGACCCCCUCUACCAUAGAGACAACCCCUCGCUAG
rnacentral:lncRNA from 12 species